UACGUAGGGGGCAAGCGUUGUCCGGAUUUAUUGGGCGUAAAGAGCGUGUAGGCGGCUUCACAGGUCUGCUGUGAAAACUCGAGGCUCAACCUCGAGCUGUCGGUGGAAACCGUGGGGCUAGAGUCCGGAAGAGGAGAGUGGAAUUCCCGGUGUAGCGGUGAAAUGCGCAGAUAUCGGGAAGAACACCUGUGGCGAAAGCGGCUCACUGGACCACAACUGACGCUGAGGCGCGAAAGCUAGGGGAGCAAACAGGG
rnacentral:rRNA from 1 species